UUUUAGCCCCGAUAGAAGCGGUAUCCUUUUUCUGGCUUCUUUAGCCAGGAAAAGAUACAAGCGGAUAGCGGGAAUAGCU
rnacentral:sRNA from 2 species